GUAAGGAAUAUUGGUCAAUGGACGAAAGUCUGAACCAGCCAUGCCGCGUGGAGGAUGAAGGUCCUCUGGAUUGUAAACUUCUUUUAUAUGGGACGAAAAAAGGCUUUUCUAAGUCGUCUGACGGUACCAUAUGAAUAAGCACCGGCUAACUCCGUGCCAGCAGCCGCGGUAAUACGGAGGGUGCAAGCGUUAUCCGGAUUCACUGGGUUUAAAGGGUGCGUAGGUGGAUUGCCAAGUCCGUGGUGAAAUCUUCGAGCUUAACUCGGAAACUGCCAUGGAUACUGGUGAUCUUGAAUAUCGUGGAGGUUAGCGGAAUAUGUCAUGUAGCGGUGAAAUGCUUAGAUAUGACAUAGAACACCAAUUGCGAAGGCAGCUGGCUACGCGAAUAUUGACACUCAGGCACGAAAGCGUGGGGAUCAAACAGGAUUAGAAACCCCGGUAGUCC
rnacentral:rRNA from 1 species